rnacentral:rRNA from 1 species
UACAGAGGUCUCAAGCGUUGUUCGGAUUCAUUGGGCGUAAAGGGUGUGUAGGUGGCGCGCUAAGUCGGGUGUGAAAUUUCGGAGCUUAACUCCGAAACUGCAUUCGAUACUGGCGUGCUUGAGGACUGGAGAGGAGACUGGAAUUCAUGGUGUAGCAGUGAAAUGCGUAGAGAUCAUGAGGAAGACCAGUGGCGAAGGCGGGAUCUCUGGGAC